CUGGUUGAUCCUGCCAGAGGUUACUGCUAUCGAGAUUCGACUAAGCCAUGCGAGUCGAAUGUUCUUCGUGAACAUGGCGAACUGCUCAGUAACACGUGGACAACCUACCCUUGGGUUCGGCAUAAUCCUGGGAAACUGGGGAUAAUACCGGAUAGGUCACAGCUGCUGGAAUGCACUGUGGCUCAAAGCUCCGGCGCCCAAGGAUGGGUCUGCGGCCUAUCAGGGUUGUAGUGGGUGUAAUGUACCUACUAGCCUACGACGGGUACGGGUUGUGAGAGCAAGAGCCCGGAGAUGGAUUCUGAGACACGAAUCCAGGCCCUACGGGGUGCAGCAGGCGCGAAAACUUUGCAAUGCGGGAAACCGUGAUAAGGGAAUCUCGAGUGCCAGCAUAUAAUGUUGGCUGUCCAGAUGCCUAAAAAGCAUCUGUUAGCAAGGGCCGGGCAAGACCGGUGCCAGCCGCCGCGGUAACACCGGCGGCCCGAGUGGUAACCGCUAUUAUUGGGUCUAAAGGGUCUGUAGCCGGCCAGGUAAGUCCCUUGGGAUAUCUGGCAGCUCAACUGUCAGGCUGCUAGGGGAUACUGUUUGGCUUGGGACCGGGAGAGGUGAGAGGUACCUUGGGGGUAGGGGUGAAAUCUUGUGAUCCUCGGGGGACCACCAGUGGCGAAGGCGUCUCACCAGAACGGGUCCGACGGUAAGGGACGAAAGCUAGGGGCACGAACCGGAUUAGAUACCCGGGUAGUCCUAGCCGUAAACGAUGCUCGCUAGGUGUCAGUCACGGUGCGACCGUGAUUGGUGCCGUAGGGAAGCCGUGAAGCGAGCCACCUGGGAAGUAUGGCCUCAAGGCUUGAAACUUAAAGGAAUUGGCGGGGGAGCACUAC
rnacentral:rRNA from 1 species